rnacentral:rRNA from 1 species
CCUACGGGUGGCAGCAGUGAGGAAUAUUGGUCAAUGGGCUUACGCCUGAACCAGCCAAGUCGCGUGAGGGAAGACUGCCCUAUGGGUUGUAAACCUCUUUUGUCAGGGAGCAACGCCGGCUACGUGUAGCCGGACUGAGAGUACCUGAAGAAAAAGCAUCGGCUAACUCCGUGCCAGCAGCCGCGGUAAUACGGAGGAUGCGAGCGUUAUCCGGAUUUAUUGGGUUUAAAGGGUGCGUAGGCGGAAUGCCAAGUCAGCGGUAAAAUCGCGGGGCUCAACCUCGCUCCGCCGUUGAAACUGGGUGUGUUGAGUGGGCGAGAAGGAAGCGGAAUGCGUGGGGUAGCGGUGAAAGGCAUAGAUAGCACGCAGAACUCCGAUUGGGAAGGCAGCAGACCGGCGCCCAACUGACGCUGAAGCACGAAAGCGUGGGUAUCGAACAGGAUUAGAUACCCCUGUAGUC